AUUGAACGCUGGCGGCAUGCCUUACACAUGCAAGUCGAACGGCAGCACGGGUGCUUGCACCUGGUGGCGAGUGGCGAACGGGUGAGUAAUAUAUCGGAACGUACCUUAUUGUGGGGGAUAACGCAGCGAAAGCUGUGCUAAUACCGCAUAAUCCCUAAGGGGGAAAGCGGGGGACCGUAAGGCCUCGCGCAAUUAGAGCGGCCGAUACCUGAUUAGCUAGUUGGUGAGGUAAAGGCUCACCAAGGCAACGAUCAGUAGCUGGUCUGAGAGGACGAUCAGCCACACUGGGACUGAGACACGGCCCAGACUCCUACGGGAGGCAGCAGUGGGGUAUUUUGGACAAUGGGGGCAACCCUGAUCCAGCAAUGCCGCGUGAGUGAAGAAGGCCUUCGGGUUGUAAAGCUCUUUUGUCAGGGAAGAAACGGCAGCUCUAACACAGUUUGCGAAUGACGGUACCUGAAGAAUAAGCACCGGCUAACUACGUGCCAGCAGCCGCAGUAA
rnacentral:rRNA from 1 species